rnacentral:rRNA from 1 species
AGCCGAGCGGUAGAGAUUCUUCGGAAUCUUGAGAGCGGCGUACGGGUGCGGAACACGUGUGCAACCUGCCUUUAUCAAGGGGAUAGCCUUUCGAAAGGAAGAUUAAUACCCUAUAAUAUAGGGUCUGGCAUCAGAUAAUAUUGAAAACUACGGUGGAUAAAGAUGGGCACGCGCAAGAUUAGCUAGUUGGUGAGGUAACGGCUCACCAAGGCAACGAUCUUUAGGGGGCCUGAGAGGGUGAUCCCCCACACUGGUACUGAGACACGGACCAGACUCCUACGGGAGGCAGCAGUGAGGAAUAUUGGACAAUGGGCGCAAGCCUGAUCCAGCCAUGCCGCGUGCAGGAUGACGGUCCUAUGGAUUGUAAACUGCUUUUGUACGAGAAGAAACACUCCAACGUGUUGGAGCUUGACGGUAUCGUAAGAAUAAGGAUCGGCUAACUCCGUGCCAGCAGCCGCGGUAAUACGGAGGAUCCAAGCGUUAUCCGGAAUCAUUGGGUUUAAAGGGUCCGUAGGCGGUUUAGUAAGUCAGUGGUGAAAUCUCAUAGCUUAACUAUGAAACUGCCAUUGAUACUGCGGGUCUUGAGUAAGGUAGAGGUAGCUGGAAUAAGUAGUGUAGCGGUGAAAUGCAUAGAUAUUACUUAGAACACCAAUUGCGAAGGCAGGUUACCAUGUCUUAACUGACGCUGAUGGACGAAAAGCGUGGGGAGCGAACAGGAUUA